CUUCUCGUUCCCGUCGCGUGCACGUUGCUUGUUUGCCGUCUCUCUCUCCAGCGCUCGCUGCCGCUGAAGGCGGGAUUUGUAUUUUCCAUCAUGGAUGAUGGUGCCCCUGCUGCGCGUCUUGGCUCCGCCUCACCCUGGACGUGCAGCAAUGGUGCAACUUUUGAGAAUGCCAGAGGAUGUUUUUGAAACCCAAUGUCAAGCUCACUGCACCACCCAAGAGAAAAAUAUCUACAGAAAUGCUUUUGUUGACAUUAGUUUGCGAUAUUGAUUCCAAUUAAAAUGUCACAUGCUAAAUUAUGAUGAUAUGUGACAUGAAUCAUUAUCAUAUCCAUUCCACUUGUUUCUUCUCUUGUACUUGUUUUAAAAUUUUGAAAGUCAGUACAACUGUGUUAAUUUGUUGUUUAAAUAGCCUCAAAAUUAGAAAUUGCAACCCGAGCAAGUUGCAUAGAAAUCACUUUU